CACGUAGGGCGCAAGCGUUGUCCGGAAUUAUUGGGCGUAAAGAGCUCGUAGGCGGUCUGUCGCGUCGGUCGUGAAAACUUGGGGCUUAACCCUGAGCUUGCGGUCGAUACGGGCAUGACUGGAGUUCGGCAGGGGAGACUGGAGUUCCUGGUGUAGCGGUGAAAUGCGCAGAUAUCAGGAGGAACACCGGUGGCGAAGGCGGGUCUCUGGGCCGAUACUGACGCUGAGGAGCGAAAGCGUGGGGAGCGAACAGG
rnacentral:rRNA from 1 species